rnacentral:tRNA from 1 species
GAGGGUAUAGCUCAGGGGUAGAGUGCAUGCCUAGCAUGCAUGAGGCCCUGGGUUCAAUGCCCAGUGCUGCCA